rnacentral:rRNA from 1 species
GAUGAACGCUGGCGGCGUGCCUAAUACAUGCGAGUCGAGCGAACAGAUGAGGAGCUUGCUCCUCUGACGUUAGCGGCGGACGGGUGAGUAACACGUGGAUAACCUACCUAUAAGACUGGGAUAACUUCGGGAAACCGGAGCUAAUACCGGAUAAUAUAUUGAACCGCAUGGUUCAAUAGUGAAAGACGGUUUUGCUGUCACUUAUAGAUGGAUCCGCGCCGCAUUAGCUAGUUGGUAAGGUAACGGCUUACCAAGGCAACGAUGCGUAGCCGACCUGAGAGGGUGAUCGGCCACACUGGAACUGAGACACGGUCCAGACUCCUACGGGAGGCAGCAGUAGGGAAUCUUCCGCAAUGGGCGAAAGCCUGACGGAGCAACGCCGCGUGAGUGAUGAAGGUCUUCGGAUCGUAAAACUCUGUUAUUAGGUAAGAACAAAUGUGUAAGUAACUAUGCACGUCUUGACGGUACCUAAUCAGAAAGCCACGGCUAACUACGUG